UGCUUCCGGGAUAAACAAUCGAGAAGUACGACCUGCCCGGUGAUCUAAUUAAACGGCUGCAGUACUCUGACUGUGCAAAGGUAGCAUAAUCAUUUGCCUAGUAAUUUUAGGCUAGUAUCAACGGUUAGACGAAGGAAAAACUGUCUCCCUUUAAUUUAAUCGAAAUUAAUUUUAAGGUGAAGAAACCUUAAUGAAAAAGUGGGACGAGAAGACCCUAUUGAGCUUAAGUCUAAUUAAAAUUCCUAAGUUUUAAAAAGAUUUUGAUUGGGGCAAUCCUUUUUAUAAUAAAACAAAAGUAAACUAAAAUGAAUUUAACUAUCAAGACCCUAAACUUUUAGAAAAAAGAAAAAGUUACCAUAGGGAUAACAGCGUUAUUUUUCUCGAGAGUACAUAUUGACAGAAAAGUUUGCGACCUCGAUGUUGGAUUAAGAUCCCCCGGAUGUGCAGCCGCCUCCAACGGUUGGUUUGUUCAACCAUAAAAAUCUU
rnacentral:rRNA from 1 species